rnacentral:lncRNA from 1 species
CCAAAGUGUUGGCAAGCCGAAUCUCCUGGGCCAGGUCAUCCCCGUCUAUGGCUUUGGGAUUUUCCUUUAUAUCAUCUACUUGUUCUUUAAACUGACCUCUAAGGACAAACCUCAUCGACAAGGUUGCAGAUUCCCUAUGGCUGCAGUCAGAAUACACAUUUGAAGAGAUGCCUACUUGUCAGCUGGGCACCAAAUGGCAGGCCAGAAUGAGUGAAAAAGCCAGAGAAAAGAGAAUAUCUAAAGUUGUCCACCCAUCUACCAGGUCACGCAGGGGCACACGGAGGCGUGAGGAGAAAAAGCUCAAACAGCUGAAGGAGAUCACCCAAAUGAUGCGGGAGAGACAGUUACGAGAGGAAGCUUCGCCAGAGGAGGAGGCCGAGGAGGCCCCCUACACUGCAGACUGGGAAGGUAUACUUCAAGGCUUUGUGUUGGGUCCGCUGUUGUUUCUUGGUCCUUGAAUUACAUUUUAUUCACUACUUCCCAAGGCUAUCCAGAGGAGACCUACCCAGAGUAUGACACGACCUCCCGCAGACGCAGAUUUCCAGUGUUAUACUUGAAGAACCAGACCAAGUCAUACUCACAGCAGAGGAGCUUGCUGAGAGAAUGGAGAAGGAAGAAGAAGAGGAGGAGGAGGAUGAUCCUGA